CCCUUAGAUGUUCUGGGCCGCACGCGUGCUACACUGAGUAAAUCAAUGGGUAAGGGAACACGAAAGUGCAACCUAAUCUUGAAAUUUGCUCGUGAUGGGGAUCGACGGUUGCAAUUUUCCGUCGUGAACGAGGAAUACCUUGUAGGCGCGUGUCAUCAUCACGCGCCGAAUACAUCCCUGCCCUUUGUACACACCGCCCGUCGCUCCUACCGAUUGAAUGGUCCGGUGAGGCCUCGGGAUUGUGGCCAGUUUCCUUUAUUGGGAGUUGGCUGCGAGAACUUGUCCAAACCUUAUCAUUUAGAGGAAGGUGAAGUCGUAACA
rnacentral:rRNA from 1 species